CAGCCGCCGCGGGAAUACGAAGGGUGCAAGCGUUAAUCGGAAUUACUGGGCGUAAAGCGUGCGUAGGCGGUGAGCUAAGUCUGCUGUGAAAUCCCCGGGCUCAACCUGGGAAUGGCAGUGGAUACUGGCUCGCUAGAGUGUGUCAGAGGAUGGUGGAAUUCCCGGUGUAGCGGUGAAAUGCGUAGAGAUCGGGAGGAACAUCAGUGGCGAAGGCGGCCAUCUGGGACAACACUGACGCUGAGGCACGAAAGCGUGGGGAGCAAACAGGAUUAGAUACCCGCGUAGUCCCUGUCUCUUAUAC
rnacentral:rRNA from 1 species